AUGCCGCGUGCAGGANGACUGCCCUAUGGGUUGUAAACUGCUUUUAUACGGGAAGAAACCUAGUCACGUGUGACUAGCUGACGGUACCGUAAGAAUAAGGAUCGGCUAACUCCGUGCCAGCAGCCGCGGUAAUACGGAGGAUCCAAGCGUUAUCCGGAAUCAUUGGGUUUAAAGGGUCCGUAGGUGGAUAAUUAAGUCAGGGGUGAAAGUCUGCAGCUCAACUGUAGAAUUGCCCUUGAUACUGGUUGUCUUGAAUUAUUGUGAAGUGGUUAGAAUAUGUAGUGUAGCGGUGAAAUGCAUAGAUAUUACAUAGAAUACCAAUUGCGAAGGCAGAUCACUAACAAUAUAUUGACACUGAUGGACGAAAGCGUGGGGAGCGAACAGGAUUAGAUACCCUGGUAGUCCACUGCUGCCUCCCGUAGGA
rnacentral:rRNA from 1 species